rnacentral:rRNA from 1 species
GAUGAACGCUGGCGGCGUGCCUAAUACAUGCAAGUCGAGCGAACAGACGAGGAGCUUGCUCCUCUGACGUUAGCGGCGGACGGGUGAGUAACACGUGGAUGACCUACCUAUAAGACUGGGAUAACUUCGGGAAACCGGAGCUAAUACCGGAUAAUAUAUUGAACCGCAUGGUUCAAUAGUGAAAGACGGUUUUGCUGUCACUUAUAGAUGGAUCCGCGCCGCAUUAGCUAGUUGGUAAGGUAACGGCUUACCAAGGCAACGAUGCGUAGCCGGCCUGAGAGGGUGAUCAGCCACACUGGAACUGAGACACGGUCCAGACUCCUACGGGAGGCAGCAGUAGGGAAUCUUCCGCAAUGGGCGAAAGCCUGACGGAGCAACGCCGCGUGAGUGAUGAAGGUCUUCGGAUCGUAAAACUCUGUUAUUAGGGAAGAACAAAUGUGUAAGUAACUAUGCACGUCUUGACGGUACCUAAUCAGAAAGCCACGGCUAACUACGUG